GCAGAUGAGGCAAUUGGAGCUCAGCAGUGUGACAGCCAGAGACUUGCCAGCGUUGGCACAAUAUUCAUUGGAGCCAUUGCCGUGUGACCCGCUGGUUCAGGAGGAAAUCAGCAGCGGAACAAAGUUUUCAAACACUGAUAAGCAGGCUUUGGGAGUUCACCCAAGAACUCAACUACUAUCAAUCAUCCUGGUCUUCAGAAAGAAUGUCUUUGCACUUCCAAUUCAUGGAGUAAAAAGAAUUUACAAAACUCCCCUCUUCAAAAAUUGGAGCCUACUUCGUCUCUGAAUAAGCUACGAGGAAUGCGGAUUAGGAAAUUGUGCUGCAAAUACUGCCCAGUGGUGUCUGCGUGUGAUCCCUCAAGACUACAGAGAAGACAGAGCACAAAAAUGGCCAUGUUGCCAAAAAUGAAAGGGUCACUGGCAAGUGGCUCCAUGCUGACGCAGCCUCACUGUCUACAUCCUGCAAGAAGACAUCAGGGAUCUUCUGUCUACUUCCCAGAGGAGGACAUGGAAAGCUCAGUGACAGGGACGCACGGGAAGGCUGCUGCUCCCGCAGGGACGUGCGGUGCAUCGUUCCCAUUCCACCGAGGAGGAGGAGACCAAGGCAGGGAACUGGUGGGAGUUCAAGCCAGUGAGUGACCUGUCUGGAUCCACGUCCAUUGCCUUUUAACCCAGUGCAUUUCGGAGGACUUUUCCUGUUCCUCUUGGUGCUCAGUUUAGGUUCUGUGGACCGUACAUCCACACCAACACAGCUUCGUAAGGAUUGUAGAUGAAAAUAGACAGUUUCAAGUACUUUGAUGGUUAUCGAGUUGGGCUCCAACAUGGGUGAGAAAUGUGCACAGACAAAGAAUCAGCAAGGACUCCUGGUGAGUGAUUUGUCAUGGAGAGCAAUAAAGUGGGCUGUCUCAAAUGCAUUUAAUCCACAAAAUUAAAGGGAAAGAGUAAAAAGUAUGCAUCCCUUAUAAAACAUGUCCACAAGACCAGAAAAGGCUCAUAU
rnacentral:lncRNA from 1 species